rnacentral:rRNA from 1 species
UCGCUAGUAAUCGCGGAUCAGCAUGCCGCGGUGAAUACGUUCCCGGGCCUUGUACACACCGCCCGUCACACCAUGAGAGUCGGGGACACCCGAAGUCCGUAGUCUAACCGCAAGGGGACGCGGCCGAAGGUGGAUUCGAUAAUUGGGGUGAAGUCGUAACAAGGUAAC